rnacentral:rRNA from 1 species
AUGACUCAACACAAGUCACCACAGAUAACACAAACCCUUGGAACAAGGAAGAAUUUUCCAGCAGAUGAUGUCUGGGAUGAUAGAAAUGAUAGACAAUGGGACCAGCUAUUGGCUCCUUUUACAUCUGAUGGUGCAAACAACAAUUUGAUACUCAUGACAACUAGAAACCCAUCUUUUGCAAAAAGAAGAGGAACAACUGAACCAAUUAAAUUAAGUGCAUUGGGAAAAGAUGAUUUCUGUUUACUGUUUAAAUUCCCCGCCGAGGGGUUAAUUCAUAUGUGGAUUUCACAGGGAUUUGUGAAGCGUGAUCAUUCAACUGGGAGUUUGGAGGACAUAGGGCGGUCCUAUCUAACUGACUUGGUAAACCUGGGUUUCUUUGAACAGGUUGAAGAAAUUGAAGAAGUCAUCUCUUUGGGUACACAAAAAUCCUAUGCAAUUAAUGGUCUUAUGCAUGAUUUUGCGAGGGUUGUUUCAAGAACAGAGUGUGCAACAAUAGAUGUGAAAAACUUGAGGACAUUGGUUUUAAUUGGGCAGUAUGACUCUUUCUUCUUCAAAGUCUUCAAAGAACUAUUCCAAAAGGAACAUCAUUUGCGAGUGCUUCAUUUGUCUGCAACAUCUGUUGAUUCUCACUCCUUCAUGUGUAGUUGGAUAAUUCAUCUAGAGAAUUGUGGGCAGGGCUGGAUACUUCCAUGUCUAGAAAGGUUUCCAUUUCUUACAAGGUUGAAGUUGAGCAACAUGUGGGAAGUAAGAGAACUAUCAGUUCGGUCAUUGGAGGAGCUAGUUUUAGUUGAGAUGCUAGAGUUGGAGAAUUGUGUCUGCACUUCUCCGGGAGAUAUGAACUCUAGGUUAAGGUCUUAUGAAAUUCGUAAUCUGCAAUUGUCCUCACUUGCAAGUAUUGGCUCCUCUUCGUCCGUCAGCCACAUUUUCCGAGCUUUUAAUCAGCAGAGUUUCAACGUUUCUGACUAUGAAAUUAGGCCAAACAGUCUUUUGGAGAGUUUGAGCAUAAAAAUCUGCAUAAAACUCUUCUCUUCAGACAUUCUGUUACCGCACACACAUGAAGACGUGAUAGCUGCAGAUCAUAAUGCCUUUCCAUACCUUGAAAGUCUCAGUAUUGGUUCAUGUGGAAUAAUGGGGAAAUGGCUAUCUAUGAUGCUUCAACAUGCGCUGGCCAUGAAGGAAUUGGUGAUAAAGGACUGUCCAAAGUUGACAAAGUUGACAGAUUGA